rnacentral:rRNA from 1 species
GACGUAGGGCGCGAGCGUUGUCCGGAUUUAUUGGGCGUAAAGAGCUCGUAGGCGGCCUGUCGCGUCGGCUGUGAAAACCGGAGGCUCAACCUCCGGCCUGCAGUGGGUACGGGCAGACUAGAGUGCGGUAGGGGAGAUUGGAAUUCCUGGUGUAGCGGUGGAAUGCGCAGAUAUCAGGAGGAACACCGAUGGCGAAGGCGGGUCUCUGGGCAGUAACUGACGCUGAGGAGCGAAAGCGUGGGGAGCGAACAGG